CAGAGCUCCUCUUGAAUAAUUAGGAGCAAAACUACUGCAUAAAACCAGUGUCGUCUUGUACUAGUGUGUGAUCUAGGAUCUAACUUAUGAGACCACAAGUUGAUACUUCUAUGUGCUUUUGCUUGAUAUGCCUUCAUUUCAUCUCUGUACAUCUGCCAGUUGCAUCUCAGGUCCACAGAGAUUAUGGUAGAUAGCAUGCUGUGAACCGAGAGCACCAGAAGAUCAAGCACUGCUAGCACCAAGGGACUUUCCUACAUAAUUCAGCCAGUGGGAUUGAUAAUACAUUCUGUAUAGGACACUGCUUUAAUGUGACUACUGGUAUAACAGGUGCAAAUGUUUCUAUGCUCCCCCUAUCAUCUCCAUCCCUGAGGUUAUCGCAGAUUAGAAGGCAAAAAAAAUGCACUCGCGAUGACAUGUAGUCCUCCUGCACUGAUAGGACACAGCUGAUUGCAUGGAGGCAUUCAGUGGCAGAGUCCAGGAAAGCAUUAAAUGAGCAUGAUGAGAAGAGGCAGGAUGCAAUGCUGAGGCUAAUGGGGGAGCAAACGGACAUGCUCAGGCGUCUGGUGGAGCUUCAGGAAAGCCAACAAGAGCACAAACCGCAGCUGCAUCCACUAUACAGCCACCUGCCCUCCUCCCCAAGUUCCAUAUCAUCCUCACCCAGAUGCCCAAGAAUGCAGGGGGGAGGGAAGCUCCUUGCACCCAGCCACUCCACUCCAGAGGAUGGCCCAAGCAACAGAAGGCUGUCAUUCAAACAGUUUUGAUUUGUAAUGUGGCUACAAUAAGCAAUGUGGCCUUGUCCUCCCCUCCUUCACCACCCCACCUGGGCUACCUUAUCAGUUAUCUCCCUUUUUUGUUUAAUUAAUAAAGA